AGUGAGAAGGCAGCCCUGUGCAAGCCAGGAAGAGAGCCCUUCAGCAAAAGCCAGCCAUGCUGAUACCUGCAUCUUGGACUUCCAGCCUUCCAAACUGAGAGAACUAAAUAUUUGCCGUUUAUGCCCCGUCCGUGGAUCCCGAGCUGACUGAGACAGUGGACCCAGUGCUGCAAGGCCAGCUCCUUCUGUGACUCCCAAGGCCUCAGCGUCAAGGCCCUUCCCAAGCCACCAGCUCCUUGAACCUCUUUCAACAGCCGACCUGCCGGAUUCAGCCCUGCAGAGCCAGAAGCGGUUUCCCAAAUGCACUGCUGCUGCUGGGAACAUUGUUCUUUACCACCUUGACAACGCUCUACCUGUCUCAGCUGUGUUUCACAUCCUCCCGGAAACCUGUCCUUGCCAUCCAGGUUCUAGGGGAGAAUUUGUUUCCUUGCCUCUUCCAGCUUCUGGAGGCACCUGCAUUCCUUGGUUCAUGGUUCCACCUUCCAUCUUCAAAGCCAGCAGUGUAGUAUCUUCAAAUCUCAAUCUCUGGACUUCCCUGGUGGCGCAGUGGUUAAGAAUCCGCCUGCCAACGCAGGGGACACGGGUUCGAGCCCUGGUCCGGGAAGAUCCCACAUGCCGCGGAGCAACUAAGCCCAUGUGCUACAACUACAGAGCCUGUGCGCCACAACUACUGAGCCCACGAGCCACAACUACUGAAGCCCGCGCGCCUAGAGCCCGUGCUCCACAACAAGAGGAGCCACCGCAAUGAGAAGCCUGCGCACUGCAACGAAGAGUAGCCCCCGCUCGCCGCAACUAGAGAAAGACUGCGUGCACAGCAACA